UUUCCGUAGGUGAACCUACGGAAGGAUCAUUAUUGAAUACGUUUGGUUCUGAUGCUGGCUCUUCACUGAGCAUGUGCUCGAUCCAUAACUAUUUAUCUUCUCUUGUGCACCUUUUGUAGUCUUUCAGAGCAAGUGAUAACUCUCGCAGCAGUGCGGUAUGGGGGACUUGGGCGUGAGCCCUUCCCCUGCGUUUGCUUCUUUGGAGGGCUAUGUUUUCAUAUACACUAUAAAGUUACAGAAUGUCCUUUAAAGAUUGUGCUAGUCGCAGUCAUUAAACCUAUACAACUUUCAGCAACGGAUCUCUUGGCUCUC
rnacentral:misc_RNA from 1 species